GAUUCCUAAGCACUUUUAAUAGCAAGUCACCCGACAGCUUCCUGAGGAGGCAGUAAGCACCUUGCAGCUAAAACUGGAACAGAGAGAACAGGAGAAAAUAAACUGCAGAAAAUAGCCCUGCAGCAAUACAAGGAUCUGUCCAUCCUCCUGGGCUUGUGUACCAGGAUGGAGCUGUGCAAGAGCCAAGGAAUCAACCCCAGCACCUGCCUCAGCAUUUGCAACCUGAUGGACAAGAGCCCAGGGGAAGGCUAUUUCCACCACUUGGCUGCGAAAAAAUUUAAUAGCAGGUUUGCUUUGCAUGACUGCUCCAAAACCAAUCCUGCAUGACCCCAAGCCCUGCCCGUGACUGUCCCUGAGCAGGAUGCAGCAGCAAGCACAACAUCCAGCAGCAGGUGGACACGUGCUGAUGGCUGAGCUGCAUAACCAAAUGGAUAUGGUGAGCUGGGUCAGUCCAAAGGGGACGAAUCAAGAGAAGAGGAGAUGCUAUUUUCAGGUUUCUGAAGAGGUAUUCCUAACAAAAAGAAAGAAAGAUGAAAAACUGGGCUCGACAGAGUCCUCUAGAGAGGAGAUAAAGGCAAGGGCGUUUUUUUUCUAACUUGAGAUUUUGAGCUUUUUUACUCUUUGUCCAGUUGGCUUUGGAGAUCGAGGUCGAGGAGCGCACUCGUGUUUGUCCCAGCUGAUGCAGGAGCGCACAGGCUUUGAACAAUGAGACUUUGUUCUUCUGCCAAAUGCAGCAGUGCCUGCGCUGUUGCUCAGGAACAAACACAUUAAGAAGUCACUGAAAAUCAAUUGAUGGCUCACUUCAAGGAGUGCAGCAGCAUACUGUUAAGAUGAAUGAGUUUGCCUGGCAUAGGACACCACAAAGAGCAGAGAUCUUCAGAAAGACACCCUGUAGUUUCCCCUGAACCUGCAAUGUGAUGGAGAAGAUGACCUUCAGCUUUGUCGGAGACUGUGGGUCAGACUUGACCUUCAGAUACUGGGGAGUCAAGAGGAACUGCAAAUAUUCAUCCCGUGGACAAGAUUUGGCCCUCUGCCUAGUGCCCGAGGCACUUUGUGUUGUCUCUGAGUGAUAACGCGCUUACACCACACCAAAAUGUAUUUCAGGAUAACAUUAAAGGUAUGAUCCACAGAAA